ACCUGGCAAUGGAUGUGACAUUCAGCACUGCCCAGGUUUCUGCCACUUGAAGGAGGCAAAGUGGUGAAUGGAAGGAGGCAAUCCUCUGGCACUGGAAGAAGUCUGAGCAGUUGGCAUUUUGAAAGGGAAGAGGAUAACUUGCUCAGUACUGAAUGAUGAGGAGCCACUGCGAUGGCAGAC